rnacentral:rRNA from 1 species
UUUUAUUUGAGAGUUUGAUCCUGGCUCAGGAUGAACGCUGGCGGCGUGCCUAACACAUGCAAGUUGAGCGAUUUACUUCGGUAAAGAGCGGCGGACGGGUGAGUAACGCGUGGGUAACCUACCCUGUACACACGGAUAACAUACUGAAAGGUAUGCUAAUACGGGAUAAUAUAUUUGAGAGGCAUCUCUUGAAUAUCAAAGGUGAGCCAGUACAGGAUGGACCCGCGUCUGAUUAGCUAGUUGGUAAGGUAACGGCUUACCAAGGCGACGAUCAGUAGCCGACCUGAGAGGGUGAUCGGCCACAUUGGAACUGAGACACGGUCCAAACUCCUACGGGAGGCAGCAGUGGGGAAUAUUGCACAAU